rnacentral:rRNA from 1 species
AAACUAACAAGGAUUCCCCUAGUAACGGCGAGUGAACCGGGAAGAGCUCAAAUUUGAAAUCUGGCGUCCUCAGGGCGUCCGAGUUGUAAUCUAUAGAGGCGUUUUCCGUGCCGGACCGUGUCCAAGUUCCUUGGAACAGGAUAUCAAAGAGGGUGACAAUCCCGUACUUGACACGACGACCGGUGCUCUGUGAUACGUCUUCUACGAGUCGAGUUGUUUGGGAAUGCAGCUCAAAAUGGGUGGUGAGUUCCAUCUAAAGCUAAAUAUUGGCGAGAGACCGAUAGCGAACAAGUACCGUGAGGGAAAGAUGAAAAGCACUUUGGAAAGAGAGUUAAACAGUACGUGAAAUUGUUGAAAGGGAAACGAUUGAAGUCAGUCGUGACCGAGAGGCUCAGCCGGUUCUGCCGGUGUAUUCCCCUCGGUCGGGUCAACAUCAGUUUUGUCCGGUGGAUAAGGACGGUAGGAAGGUGGCACCCUCGGGUGUGUUAUAGCCUGCCGUCGCAUACAUCGGGUGAGACUGAGGAACGCAGCUCGCCUUUAUGGCCGGGGUUCGCCCACGUCCGAGCUUAGGAUGUUGAC